rnacentral:lncRNA from 1 species
CUGAUUCUUCCACAUAGCCAACGAGCUAGAAACUCUUUCCCUCAGAGAUAUGACUUUACCUGUCAGCUUAUAUCACACUCUCACCAAGUCUCUCGGGGUUAAAGUGUUAUUACUCUCAAAUCACAAUAUGCAAUAUCAAAUCAGAAGUUUGAAUAAAUUCUCUCAUCCUAUCAACAUGUACAAUCACACACACUUUUUGAGGUCUUUUUAGGGUUGUAACGGGGCUUUGGGCUUUGGUUUAGGUAGGGUAUGAAAUUGGAACAAGGGGGUUUUUGUUUUUUCUUUUGGGUUGUAACGGGGUUUUGGUUUAGAUAGGCUAUGAAAUUGAACAAAGGUUUUUGGUUUAGAGUACAUGAAAUCAUUCUCUCACUACGUUUCUUUUCUAUUAUUCCUGUAGGGUUAUGCAAUCCUCUUUUCCUUUUAUCUCUAUAGUGCAUGUCGCCUUUUCAAAAGCUGUUCUUUUAUUGUUUUUCGCUUUUCUCUUUCUUUCUUUUCAUGUUGUUUUUUUUUUUCUUUUGUUUUUUUUCUUUUCUUCUUUUUUCUUUUUUUUUCUUUUAUACAACAUUCACUUACUAUUCAUGUACUGCACAGCUACCCCAAACUUAAAGGUUGCUAUUCCAACAACAACCCCAAACUUAGAUAGAAACGUAGAUCUGAAAACAAUUCUCACAUACUCUGAACAGGGUAGGGUAGGUCCAAGGUCAUGGCUUUAGGAAAAAAAAUGGGUAUAUCAAAAAUAAAUGAUUAACAGGCUCAAUAGGGUAAAAUAAUGGAUAAUAAUUAUAAUGGGAUGGCUAGAAAGGCUCUAGGUGAUAAACAAAAACAUGCCUCAGUGUGUGUAUUCGUACAGCUAAUAAUAACAAAAGAACGUACGCAAACCAAGAUUGAUAAAGACAUACCUGAUAUCUCUCAUAUGAUGAUAAGUGUUUGGCUUUUUAUGAACUCACCAGGACGGGUUAAGCUGACUUGUUCUAUCAUACCUCUGAGUUCAAAGCUCAUGCUCGUGGUUCUGAUGUUAAUCUUAACCAGUGCGUCCAAUCAUAAACAACAGUAUCUACAGUCAGGGGACUGAAAGAGAGGACGCCCCAAGUAGUUGGUGUAAAUGAUCAAGAAAACCAAUAGCCAGACAUAGUCACGUAUCUAAUGAAAUAAACAGGAAACUGGAGGUAAACCAAAUCAAAUUCAUUAGAAUAAGCCAACCUAUAAUAGGUGGUUACAUCAAAGCAACAGAAAUUAACAACUGAAUAAAUAAAAAAACAAAAGUUACACAAAGAAAACCAAAAGUACAACAAACAUAAUCAAACUCAAUCACUCCGUCCACCGUCCUGCAUAUGGGUAUCAAAGUUAAUCAUAUCUGUCGGAUCCAACAUAGUG